UACAGAGGUCUCAAGCGUUGUUCGGAUUCAUUGGGCGUAAAGGGUGCGUAGGUGGCGCCGUAAGUGGGGUGUGAAAUCCCGGGGCUUAACCCCGGGACUGCAUUCCAUACUGCGGUGCUUGAGGACUGGAGAGGAGACUGGAAUUUACGGUGUAGCAGUGAAAUGCGUAGAGAUCGUAAGGAAGACCAGUGGCGAAGGCGGGUCUCUGGACAGUUCCUGACACUGAGGCACGAAGGCCAGGGGAGCAAACGGGG
rnacentral:rRNA from 1 species